rnacentral:siRNA from 1 species
UCAACGACGAUCUUUGGCCAGGU